CAAGGUUAUGAUACAAUUCGUACUAAACUCGUGAUAAUUUAUUGCAAACUCAUUUCAUCAAAAACUCCUAGUGACCCGCCAUUAGUCUUGGCGAGGAAAAUCUUGUGACAUCCGCUCGAAAUCAAACUCCAACUUGUAACUCAAAGCUAUUUUUGCACAAUUUAUUGAAAUGGAGUGAAAACAUAAACCACGACACGAAAAUAGGCUAUUCAUUUAAACCUCGUCUAAUGGGUGAAGGAGCUUAUCAUAUCUCCCUGAACAAGUGCAUUAAAGCUUGGACUAGAGUAAAAAACUUGAUAAUUGCAGCAAAUCCGAAAGCUUACCAUGAAAUCUCGAAGAGCAAUUGGGCCUACCACGGCCCAUUUUGGACUGUUUCUGUAGUCGUAUUUCUUCUCAUAAGCUGGACAUUUCCCUUUCCGCCAUUGAUGGCAGUACGAAGCUGUGACUGUGUGGUUAAAAGUUAAAAGUAAGAGUUCUAAUAAAUAGCGGAGUAAGAAUUAAAAGAAAAGCGGUUAAAUGAAAAUUACUACUCCCUACUACGUACAUGAGUUAAAAAAGACAUAGUUUUGGCACUAAAUUUUGCAAAGGGAGAACAAAGUAAUACUAAUAGAGUAUAACUUUAUUAGUAUAAUAAUAAUAAUAAUAAUAAUACUUUUGGGGCCUCUAUAUUUUGAGGUCUAAAGUGGUGGCUUCAUCCGCUUUACCCUUAAACCGCUGCGUCCAAAGUGAAUUCCGGAUACAAAUAAGAAACAAAAAAAAAAAAUCUAUCGACUUAAAAGGAUCUUAUAGUCGGGAAUUUAGAAUUAAAAAAAAAGUAGGACGAUGAUUUGAUAGAAGACUUAAAAGGACUGUCUUGAGAAACAAACAAAUCCUUCAAUUCGAAAGUUCACGUAUCCAAUCCUCCUAUCCCUUAGUUCAUUUUGUAGAAUCAACAGAGAUGCGAAAGAACAAACUAGAAAUUUAAAGAAAUAAUUUAGAAAAACACCAAUUGAAAAUAAAAUUAAUAAUCUUUUCUUUUCUCUCCUUUGAUCUAUUUCUUACUUUACUUAUUUUGUAUAAUCAAUACAAAUAGACCACAUACCUUUCAGGAAUAGCCAUUACAAUCCUCUGUCGUACACCACCCAAUGCUCAAAAAGCAAACAAAGAGAAAUUGUUGAUCAUUAGCUUCAGAAAAAAGAAGAGAGAGAUCUAAACAUUCGUGUUGUGAUAUUUAAGCUCAGGCAUUUAUAUAUCGGUUACUAAAGAUGCAUUGAAUUAGUAAUACUCUGAUUGAUGUAUUACAAACAGCAGUAGUUUCCUAAAAGAGGAGAGGGUCAAAGAAAAUUUGAACCUAUCUUGGAGGUGAACUUGACAUGUCUGUAAUUAAAAAAUCUUUCCCUUCUAUUUGGUUCAACCAUGACCAAAUCUUUAUUUUGUGGUUGAUUUAAUUUUUCCUAGGAUUU
rnacentral:lncRNA from 1 species